rnacentral:lncRNA from 1 species
GACCUGAGCCCUAGGACCAUGCCUCAGGACUACCUGGCAUGAUGACUCCUUGCUGUCCCCAGUCCACCUGGCCGUGCUGCUGCUCCAGUUUCAACUGUUCUACCUGCGGCUAUGGAACCCUGACCUGUUCACCGGACGUGCUUGUUGCACCCUCGACAACUACUAUGAUUAUUAUUAUUUGACCAUGCUGGUCAUUUAUGAACAUUUUAACAUCUUGACCAUGUUCUGUUAUAAUAUCCACCCGGCACAGCCAGAAGAGGACUGGCCACCCCUCAUAGCCUGGUUCCUCUCUAGGUUUCUUCCUUGGUUUUUCGCCUUUCUAGGGAGUUUUUCCUAGGGAGUUUUUCCUAGCCACCGUGCUUCUUUCACAUGCAUUGCUUGCUGUUUGGGGUUUUAGGCUGGGUUUCUGUACAGCCCUUUGAGAUAUCAGCUGAUGUACGAAGGGCUAUAUAAAUCAAUUUGAUUUGAUUUGAUUUGAUUGCAAAGCAAUCACUAGCCUGCUAUUCAGUGGAGUGGAUGUGUGGUCCCAAAUCUGGGAUUAGUGGGCUCUUUUCCAAGUUUAAAAUGAUAAACAUUCAACAUUGGCCAUGCUGUCAAUGAAGCAUAAUUUGUGACUUCAGUGAGUUCAAGACAACUGGGAAGUUGGGAAUAAACUUUUUUUUUUAAAGUUUUGAACGGUCAUCCAACUCGGAAUUGUAAAUCGUCCUCUUUCUAGAGCUACGACCUGAAGAUCAAUGACGUUAUCAUGAUUCAAACUUGUUUUUUUCCGAGUUCACAAUUGUUUUGAAAGCACCACAAAUCCAGAGAAUGCCAGACUUUGAUGACAAAAGUUUCCCACAAGGACCGCCAAGGACCACCUUCCUGUUCAAGUGAGCACAGAACAACAAGACAGUUUUAUGUUGCUGGAGAGAAUUUGAGGAGUGAGAGAGUCCUUCAAGUCAACUAACUCUACUGCUAGAGGGAAGAACUAGGUAGUUAAACCAGGAAAUGAACACACGAAAUGGAGGAAACAGGCACUGGGAUCUUCCAAAGAUGGUGGAGUGGCAGUCUUUACCAAGAAUCACCUUCAGUGCUCGAUUGUCUCCAGCAAGACUGUCCCCAAAGAAUUUGAUUUUCUGGUUUUAAGCAUUGAGCUUUCAAAUAGCUCUUUGUUGACUGUUAUCAUCCACCAUCAGCACCGGCCUGUACCCUACCUUCCCUAAGCUCUCUCCUGGCCCCUUACACUAAGUCUGAAUUUGUCCUACUAGGUGACCUAAACUAGGACAUUCUUAAACCCCCUGAACAAGUCCUAAAGCAAUGGGACUCCCUAAAUCUUUCUCAGAUUAUUACCAAUCACACAAGGUAUGAUUCCAAACACCCAGAAAAGGCUACUCUCUUUGAUGUUAUCCUCACAAAUAAUCCUGAUAGGUAUCAGUCUUGUGUUUUCUGUAAUGAUAUUAGUGAUCACUGUUUUACAGCCUGUGUUCGUAAUGGCUGCUCAGUGAAACGACCUGUCCUGAUUUGUCAUAGACACCUGCUAAAAAACUUUAAUGAGCAAGCCUUUCUUCAUGACCUG